rnacentral:rRNA from 1 species
UACAGAGGUCCCAAGCGUUGUUCGGAUUCAUUGGGCGUAAAGGGUGCGUAGGCGGCGCGGUAAGUCGGGUAUGAAAUCUCGGAGCUUAACUUCGAAACUGCAUUCGAUACUGCCGUGCUUGAGGACUGGAGAGGAGACUGGAAUUUACGGUGUAGCGGUGAAAUGCGUAGAUAUCGUAAGGAAGACCAGUGGCGAAGGCGGGUCUCUGGACAGUUCCUGACGCUGAGGCACGAAGGCCAGGGGAGCAAACGGG